rnacentral:rRNA from 1 species
UACGGGGGGGGCAAGCGUUGUUCGGAAUUACUGGGCGUAAAGGGCUCGUAGGCGGCCAACUAAGUCGGAUGUGAAAUCCCCAGGCUUAACCUGGGAACUGCAUCCGAUACUGGAUGGCUUGAAUCCGGGAGAGGGAUGCAGAAUUCCAGGUGUAGCGGUGAAAUGCGUAGAUAUCUGGAGGAACACCGGUGGCGAAGGCGGUUCUCUGGGCCUUACCUGACGCUGAGGAGCGAAAGCAUGGGGAGCAAACAGG